rnacentral:lncRNA from 1 species
GGUCAAACCUACCUUUCACAAGUUCAAAGAUUCAUUAAUUAAAGCUAAGCACUGUGGGCAAGCCCCUCUCUUUCUCUCUCUAGGCAAGCGAAAGUGACCCUCUCUUCAUCUCUGCCUUUCCCCAUUAAAAACCCCUACACGACCCGUCGCCCUCGGCUGCAGCCAGACUCAUGUGCGCCCUUCACAGGUGGCGUUUGGAUGCUUGUGCACCAC